rnacentral:rRNA from 1 species
CAGUCGCCGCGGGAAUACGAAGGGUGCAAGCGUUACUCGGAAUUACUGGGCGUAAAGCGUGCGUAGGUGGUGGUUUAAGUCCGUUGUGAAAGCCCUGGGCUCAACCUGGGAAUUGCAGUGGAUACUGGAUCACUAGAGUGUGGUAGAGGAUAGUGGAAUUUCCGGUGUAGCAGUGAAAUGCGUAGAGAUCGGAAGGAACAUCUGUGGCGAAGGCGACUAUCUGGGCCAACACCGACACUGAGGCACGAAAGCGUGGGGAGCAAACAGGAUUAGAUACCCGAGUAGUCCCUGUCUCUUAUAC